rnacentral:lncRNA from 1 species
UUUUUUUUUUUUUUUUUUAAACAACUGAUAGUAAUGGUCUCUUCAUAAGAAUAACUUGGGGAAAGACUAGUAUAGCUGUCUCAGGAAACAAGCUCAGCUCCUUUUAAACUGACUAACUCACUGGAGACAAGACUGCUUCCAAGUUACAUGGAGGCACAAUGCUGCUUUGGAAGCUCUUGGGCACUUUAGGCUGUUAAAAAGAAGGCUCAUGCUAGGUGUGGUGGCACACACCUUUAAUCCCAGCACUUGGGAGGCAGAGGCAGGCGGAUUUCUGAGUUCGAGGCCAGCCUGGUCUACAAAGUGAAUUCCAGGACAGCCAGGGCUAUACAGAGAAACCCUGUCUCGAAAAACCAAAAAAAAAAAAAAAAAAAAAAAAAAAAAAAAAAAAAGGCUCAUGGUUAUGCUAACAACAUGCUAGAGAGGCUGCAGCAGAGCUGAAGAUCCUCUGCAUAUAGUGUUCAGUUCUGGUUACUCUUCAGAGUAUCCUGGGGCUCCUGGAAAAACACUAGUAGACUGAGACCCCAGGAGAGAAAAUGACCUAUGCAUGUCCAUCUAUGCCUAGGCAUUAUGAAAUAUAACACUGAUGGACUGGGUUACUCCUGUGUCCCAGCUGAAUGUUCUUUGAUACAGUGAGCAGUUCUUGGAUUUGAUCAUAAGCAAUAGAAAAACAAGGUGAGACCACCUGACUCUGCCAGUGGCUUUGAAGUGUUUGCCUUGUAAUAAAGUGAGUAUGUUACUCACCCCAAAGUAGUGACAUUCUGGUUACGUGGUCAGUACCACUCCCACCCAAGCCAGGGCAUGCCAGGUUAUAGGUGGGAAAAGGUUGUCAGUUGAAGUUUUAAUUAUACUUAGUAGACAAAAUAGAGCAGCUAAGCUCUAGUGAUUAAGUGCUUGUUAAAUCACUCUUCCAUGAUGAUAGUUUAAUUUUCAGAGAUUGGUACUUUAAAAAAAAUUUAGAUAAGGGGAUAGAACAGUAGUUGACUAUGAUUUUCUUGUAAUUAUUGGGAGCAGAGGUCAGGAAGAAGUGCAAAUGCCAUCAUUACUCAGAAACUCUCAUGUGGGAGCCUUUGUGUUGUGUUCUGGAAAGCCCCACCCAGUGCUUUUAAGAAGUUUGUUGUGUGCCUAUACACGCCCAUCCAUCCACCCAUCUGUCUGAACACAGGCUUACUUAGAACCUCUUGACACUAAUUUGUAUUUCUGGCCUUUAUAGAUAUGAAGUUUAAUAAGUAUUUCCUAAUUACUAUUCUUACAAAUAUCCUUUUAUGAGAAGGCAAACAAGCAAAAAAAACUAUUUUAAUACAUUUGAAUGUGUGUUUAUAUGUUACUAUACAAUGUGUUCAUGCUGAAAAUGGGUAGCUACACCAUUUGUGAGUUGCAUAGUAAUACCCAAGUGAGUGUCAUAGGUGCUAGCAUGAAACUGGGAUGGUUGCUGUGAGAUGCUGAGCAGUGUUUGAGGCACUGUAAGUGCUCUCAGUAUAUGGAUACAUUGCAUUUUUAUACCACCACCAUUAUAGGAACUCACUAGAAAAAGAGAACCACAG